UUGAGGUGCAAAACAAUAUUGUUGUAUUAAAAUUCGAGGUCAAGUCGGAGUCAAAUUAAGUCCGUAAUUUCUGACUACCUGUCAAAUUAUCUCUGGAAUUUGUUGAGCGAUUUUAACGGAAUUUUGAUGCCAGUUUUUUUAAUUCAGUAACUUCUAACACACUAACUAACGCUUGCUUCGCAAUGAAUGGACACAUUUUGACGGGACUCUGACAUACGGGGCCUGCCAAAGACGUUUUAACUGUUGGAGUUUUUGACCGACUUCCCAAAAGAAGGAGCUAUAAUCUAGAUCAAGGCGAGGUUUAAGUGUAAAAUCAAGCAUGUCAGGGUUCAAUUUAAUAGGUGGCAAACUCGCAAGCGGCCUGAAUCCACCGAAAUGGAAA